AGGACGAACGCUGGCGGCGUGCUUAACACAUGCAAGUCACGGGGGCCCCGGGGGUAACUCUGGGGUAACCGGCGAACGGGUGCGUAACACGUGAACAACCUGCCCUCGUGUGGGGGAUAGCCAUGCUAACGCGUGGGUAAUACCGCAUACGUUCUCUUUGGGGAGUCCCGAGGAGAGGAAAGCUCCGGCGCACGGGGAGGGGUUCGCGGCCUAUCAGCUAGUUGGCGAGGUAACGGCUCACCAAGGCGACGACGGGUAGCUGGUCUGAGAGGAUGGCCAGCCACAUUGGGACCGAGAGACGGCCCAGACUCCUACGGGAGGCAGCAGUGGGGAAUCGUUGCGCAAUGGUCUAACGACUGACACAGCGACGCCGCGUGUCGGGAGGACGCCGUUUCGGGGU
rnacentral:rRNA from 1 species